CAGGUAACACAGGUAACACAGGUAACACCCAGGUAACACCCAGGUAACACAGGUAACACCCAGGUAACACAGGUAACACACAGGUAACACCCAGGUAACACAGGUAACACACAAACAACACAGGUAAAACAGGUAACAACCAGGUAACACAGGUAAUACCCAGGUAACACCCGUAACACACAAACAACACAGGUAAAACAGGUAACACCCAGGUAACACAGGUGACACCCAGGUAACAGCCAGGUAACAGCCAGGUAACACACAAAUAACACAGGUAACACCCAGGUAACACAGAUAGUACACAGAUAAUACAGGUAACACCCAGGUAACAGGUACCACAGGUAACAGGUACCACAGGUGACACAGGUAACACAGGUAACACAGGUAACAGGUGACACAGGUACCACAGGUAACAGGUAACACACAGGUAACAGGUAACACAGGUACCACAGGUAACACAGGUACCACAGGUAACAGGUACCACAGGUAACAGGUGACACAGGUAACAGGUGACACAGGUAACAGGUAACAGGUGACACAGGUAACAGGUGACACAGGUAACAGGUACCACAGGUAACAGGUGACACAGGUAACAGGUGACACAG